AAGACUAUACUUUCAAGGAUCAUUUCUAUAAUGUAUUACUACAGAAGUUUCUCUGAUCAUGUAGAGUGCUGAUAAAAU
rnacentral:snoRNA from 1 species